rnacentral:rRNA from 1 species
CUCAGAUUGAACGCUGGCGGAAUGCUUUACACAUGCAAGUCGAACGGUAGAGGGGGCAACCCUUGAGAGUGGCGAACGGGUGAGUAAUAUAUCGGAACGUGCCCAGUCGUGGGGGAUAACGUAGAGAAAUUUACGCUAAUACCGCAUACGAUCUAAGGAUGAAAGCGGGGGAUUCGCAAGACCUCGCGCGAUUGGAGCGGCCGAUAUCAGAUUAGGUAGUUGGUGAGGUAAAGGCUCACCAAGCCGACGAUCUGUAGCUGGUCUGAGAGGACGACCAGCCACACUGGGACUGAGACACGGCCCAGACUCCUACGGGAGGCAGCAGUGGGGAUUUUGGACAAUGGGCGCAAGCCUGAUCCAGCAAUGCCGCGUGCAGGAUGAAGGCCUUCGGGUUGUAAACUGCUUUGUACGGAACGAAACGGUGAGCUCUAAUACAGUUUGCUAAUGACGGUACCGUAAGAAUAAGCACCGGCUAACUACGUG